UACGAAGGGGGCUAGCGUUGCUCGGAAUCACUGGGCGUAAAGGGUGCGUAGGCGGGUCGUUAAGUCAGGGGUGAAAUCCUGGAGCUCAACUCCAGAACUGCCUUUGAUACUGAGGAUCUUGAGUACGGGAGAGGUGAGUGGAACUGCGAGUGUAGAGGUGAAAUUCGUAGAUAUUCGCAAGAACACCAGUGGCGAAGGCGGCUCACUGGCCCGUAACUGACGCUGAGGCACGAAAGCGUGGGGAGCAAACAGG
rnacentral:rRNA from 1 species